rnacentral:rRNA from 1 species
UGUGGUCUUGAACUGUGGCUUCUGGAGCUAACGCGUUAAAUCGACCGCCUGGGGAGUACGGCCGCAAGGUUAAAACUCAAAUGAAUUGACGGGGGCCCGCACAAGCGGUGGAGCAUGUGGUUUAAUUCGAUGCAACGCGAAGAACCUUACCUACUCUUGACAUCCAGCGAAUCCUUUAGAGAUAGAGGAGUGCCUUCGGGAACGCUGAGACAGGUGCUGCAUGGCUGUCGUCAGCUCGUGUUGUGAAAUGUUGGGUUAAGUCCCGCAACGAGCGCAACCCUUAUCCUUUGUUGCCAGCGCGUAAUGGCGGGAACUCAAAGGAGACUGCCGGUGAUAAACCGGAGGAAGGUGGGGAUGACGUCAAGUCAUCAUGGCCCUUACGAGUAGGGCUACACACGUGCUACAAUGGCAGAUACAAAGAGAAGCGACCUCGCGAGAGCAAGCGGAACUCAUAAAGUCUGUCGUAGUCCGGAUUGGAGUCUGCAACUCGACUCCAUGAAGUCGGAAUCGCUAGUAAUCGUAGAUCAGAAUGCUACGGUGAAUACGUUCCCGGGCCUUGUACACACCGCCCGUCACACCAUGGGAGUGGGUUGCAAAAGAAGUAGGUAGCUUAACCUUCGGGAGGGCGCUUACCACUUUGUGAUUCAUGACUGGGGUGAAGUCG